rnacentral:lncRNA from 1 species
UUAUUGUAUACUGCUCCUUGGUUAUCAUUUUAUUUCCUGCAAAAUGUUAGUGGACAACAAAUACUUGAGGUCGCUGAAGAGUUUUGAAAGGAUUUUAUUGUUGCCCCCAAGGUUAGUUGCUCACAUCCAUGCUUAAGGAAAAGCACAUUCAAAAUUCAAGUAGCAUGAAUCCCAAAAUGCUUGCCAUCACUUUAUUUCAUCCAUUUUUCGAGAGACUUUUUUCAAAAAGGUUUUUUUAACUUUAUUGUUCACCAAUUUUUUUUUGUCUUUUCAGUAUAAG